AGCGGAGCGUGUGGUUUAAUUCGUUGACUACACGAAGAACCUUACCUGGGUUUGACAUAAUGGUGUAGGGAUCCAAAGGUGACGACCUUCGGGGAGCCAUUACAGGUGUUGCAUGGCUGUCGUCAGCUCGUGUCGUGAGAUGUUCGGUUAAGUCCGCUAACGAGCGCAACCCUCGCUGUGUGUUAUAUGUGUCACACAGGACUGCUGGUAUUAAAGCCGGAGGAAGUGGGACGACGUCAAGUCAGCAUGACCUUUAUAUCCAGGGCUACACACACGCUACAAUGGUCAGUACAAUGGGUUGCCAAGCCGCGAGGCGGAGCCAAUCCUAAAAAGCUGGCCUCAGUUCAGAUUGCAGUCUGAAACUCGACUGCAUGAAGUCGGAGUUGCUAGUAAACGCAGGUCAGCCAUACUGCGUUGAAUACGUUCCCGGGCUU
rnacentral:rRNA from 1 species